CAGCCACUAAGUCAAAGUCAACCUGCUGUGGACCUCCAUACCACCGGGGGCGAUAGAGAGCAUCCUGCCUCUUCUGGACAGAGUCUCCCAACUCAGUGUUGACAGGAAGUUACUGUUGAGUUUCCUCCAGUGCUGUGCUGCCUCUCAGAUCCAGCAAGGGGCACCAUCACCACCAACAGCAGUAUGGCUGCUCAGGUCUCUGCACUACAGGCUGGACUUCUCCUGCUCCUCCUCUGUGGACCUGUCAGCUCAGGACCAGGGGGAGGCUCUGUGUCUGACCACUGACCACUGCAGGGCCAUCAGCUCUGUUCUGAAGCAGAACCAACACAGCACCCAGCUGGUCCAGAACCAGGUCCAGCUCAUCCUAAGAGACUGUGAGGUGGAGGACAGAGCACUGAGAGAGCUGCUUCCCAUCCUGCAUAUUGUCAAGCUGAGCCCCAGCAAAGCUCUGCUACUUCAGCUGCUGGACCUUGUGUGUGAGGGGAUUGAAGAGGGGCUGCUGAGGCACACAGAGUCCCUGUGCAGAGCCCUGGAUGGGGAGCUGGACCUCAGUGAGACCAGGCUGGACCAGAAGGCCUGUGGAUCUCUGGCCCUGGUUCUGGAACACUCAGAGGGUCUGUCAGAACUGGACCUCAGCCACUGUCAACUCACAGACCACCACCUACAGCCCCUGAUCACACACCUGCAUAAAGUACAAGUCCUGGACCUGAGUCACAAUGACAUCACUGAUGCUCUGACUGACAGAAUACUCCAACUGGUCUCUACCAACACUUCAAUACACACCGUACGACUCUUCAACAACAGAAUCAUGAACAGCACCGCUUUCCUCACAGACAAGAGGUUUGAGAUUGGAAUAAACAUCAGGUCUUAGUCCAGGAAGAGGAAGAGAUGGCUGUUAGGUCUUAGUCCAGGAAGAGGAAGAGAUGGCUGUUAGGUCUUAGUCCAGGAAGAGGAAGACAUGGCUGUUAGGUCUUAGUCCAAAUCAAAAUAAAAUGUUAUUGGUCACCUACACAUGGUUAGCAGAUGUUAUUGCGAGUGUAGUGAAAUGCUUAUGCUUCUAGAUCUGCCAGGGCAGCAGUAUCUAACAGGUAAUAUCUAACAAUUUCACAACAAAACCUAAUACACACAGUCUAGUAAAGGAAUGAGAUGAGAAUAUAUAAAUAUAUAAUAUAUGGAUGAGCAGUGACAGAGCAGCUAAGAUGCAAUAGAUAGUAAAGAAUAGAUAGUGAAGGAUACAGUAUAUACAUAUGAGAUGAGUAAUGUGAGAUAUGUAAACAUUCUUAAUAAAAUCAACUAUAUGUACUGAACUGGUCUGAUGCUUUAAGCAAGCUGUUUGAUUAAAUAAUGAAGACACAGAAAUGACUCGAGGGAGCCAGAGAUCAACAUAGCCUUACAAGAAGAAAAAACCCUCUUCCUUAGCCUACUCCUCCCGCUGCUGCUGGCCUUUGUACAUUCUGACGUUAUGCUCCUAAAGUUUCUGAUAAUAGGCUACACCAGCAGUCGGCAACCUUUUCCAAUUUAUCUGACCAUUUCUACUGAUCUGGUGCCAGUUAGGAUUUUCAUAUUCACAUUUUACUGGAACAGUUUCAUUUAAUUUAUAGUCGUCUUUGUAUCUCAACAUCAUUCUGUGGUUAAUCUAUAUUCUAUCUAAAUGAAAAUGAUACAAAUAUAAAAUAAAUGUUUAUUGCCAUUGCUAACUAUGUAAUAAUAGUCCACAUAAAGCCAAAACAUUUAAACAUUGCAGCCAGCAGUUAGAAAAUAUCCAGAUAAAAAAUAAAUAUCCUAUAAAUCACAUUGGCUACGCCUGUUCUGUUUGAGACCUACAGGGAAGAAAUCUCACCGCUGCUCUGACUGUGGGAAAGGUUGCAAAUCUUCAUCAGAACUUAAAAUA
rnacentral:lncRNA from 1 species